UCAAAUACUGCUGGGUGAUAUUCUAAUGGUGUUUUCCUUUGAUGCUGCACUGAGGAAAGCAUCUGGAGAGGGUGCAGGAGGGUGAAAAAGCCAGACAUUUGCAAGUACAUAACAAACUGCACUUGAAAUUUCACACAAGAGCUCGUUGAUAUCUGCUCUGUGGGCUCUGAUGGUAGAAUGACACAUUAGAACUUGCCAGAGUCCUCACACCCGUGCUUCCACAGGCUAAGGCCCAAAUUAUUCUUCACUACUUAGGAAACUUGCUGCUUCCCAGAUAGUUGACACUUGAGUACCAAAUAAAUUUCUUUCCAGAUUGACCCACUCGACAGCUUCCACAACCAGGCACUCUUGUGACAAAAGCCAGCGGUGUAUGAAACUCACAUACGCUGUGCCAAAGCUGGAGUAGUAAUGCAAUGCAAACACCAGGCAUGAGAGAACGACUGGAUUAUUUCUCGGAAAAAAAAGAUUUCUCCUUGAGUAGCUUUUCUUGGCAUAGCUGUCCUGAGAAGUACUCUCUCCUCCAGCUGUUCUCUGCAUCCUCAGAUAAGUGAGGUCACCUCCAGGGGUUAGCCAAGGGGUACAAAACCUAGAGGUGGCCAAGAGGCAGCAACCAUGCACAACAGUGUGGAUGAAUAAGCAGUUUGGUGCUGAGCCCUGACAGCACAG